UACGUAGGUGACAAGCGUUGUCCGGAUUUACUGGGCGUAAAGAGCGCGCAGGCGGUCGUUCAAGUCGAGUGUGAAAGCCCCCGGCUCAACUGGGGAGGGUCAUUCGAUACUGAUCGACUCGAAGGCAGGAGAGGGAAGUGGAAUUCCCGGUGUAGUAGUGAAAUGCGUAGAUAUCAGGAGGAACACCGGUGGCGAAGGCGGGUCUCUGGGCAGUAACUGACGCUGAGGAGCGAAAGCGUGGGGAGCGAACAGG
rnacentral:rRNA from 1 species